UACGUAGGGGCCAAGCGUUGUCCGGAUUUAUUGGGCGUAAAGAGCUCGUAGGCGGUUCGAUAAGUCGGACGUGAAAUCUCCACGCUCAACGUGGAGGGGCCGUUCGAUACUGUCGUGACUCGAGUCCGGUAGGGGAGUGUGGAAUUCCCGGUGUAGCGGUGAAAUGCGCAGAGAUCGGGAGGAACACCAAUUGCGAAGGCAGCUCGCUGGGACGUUACUGACGCUGAGACGCGAAAGCGUGGGGAGCAAACAGG
rnacentral:rRNA from 1 species